rnacentral:tRNA from 1 species
UCAGAGCGUAGCUAAGAUAGAAGAGCAUCUCCCUUACACUGAGAAGACAUCCGUGCAAGUCGGGUCGCCCUGAA